UUCCUUCACGAUGCCGGUGCCGCGUGCGCCCAACGCCACUGGGGUCGAAAGGCCACAACGGACGCGACAAUCAUGCGAAUAUAACGACGGACGUUCAAAAGGCCAUAGAAGCCCACGCCCACAUAUUCCGCAUCCGAGGGGACGAGUAGGCACACGAGGACCGUGGCUGCCACACAGCAAUGUGAUGGUCGUCGGGGACGCGUGUGCUACUUUGAUGUCCUCCUCGUACCCGUGGAGAGCACAAGGAGGAAAGGGGCACCGUUGGCAACUAAUUCCGUCACGUUAGGUAUGCAACACAAGAACCCCAUACGCUCGAGAGACACAUGGUCCUCGUAGCAAAACACUGAGAGGUAGCCGAGCGCAAGCAGUUCGAUGCCCAGAGCAC
rnacentral:misc_RNA from 1 species